UUCCUCCCUUCAAGCCUCAGGUGACAUCGGAGACGGACACCAGAUACUUUGACGAGGAGUUCACGGCCCAGACCAUCACGAUCACUCCACCAGAGAAAUUCGACGAGGACGGGAUGGAAUGUCUGGACAACGAGAGACGACCGCACUUCCCGCAGUUUUCCUACUCUGCCAGCGGGCGGGAAUGAACUGUUGUCACGGUGACAUCAUCACAACUGGUCUCUGAGGUCAUCAGCGUGGGACAGAAAGACCCACAGCUUUGGACAGACCCAAAAAGACUUGAAGGAUGUUUCCCCCUCUCCUCUUCAUCCUCUCUUUUUCACCUCUGCAGUCUGCUUCCAUUUUCUUUUCUAAUUUUGAUGAAUCCCUUUUCUAGAAAGAACUCCCAGGCGAAGUUACUUUGUGAUCCUGCACUGCAGCCCUAGGUGAUCCGAACUGUGAUGUGAUCAGUUACUAUGUAAUGUCCCUUUAAUGACAGGAGCAUCACCGGUGGCCUGCUGUGCUUUGACAUGUGUCAAACUCCUAAACUGAUCCACUUAGAGAACAGCUGAUGUGUUUUAAGGAGGCUUCUCAUCAGUAAGAAGGAGAUAUAGCAUUUCAUUCAAACCUAAACUGCCGUUACCGGUUGUAUCUCAGGCUUUUUGCAAACAGAGAGAUGCUCUCAGACUCAGAGACACUCGGGUCUGGUUUCAAACCCUCACCUUAAAGGUUCGGGGAUUGAUUGAGGCUGCCUUGCAUUUGCAGUUGUCACCAGUGAGAUGAAUCCUGAAGCAGGAUGUCACUCAGGUUUUGCUCAGUGCAAUCCAUUAUUAUUGUUGCUGCUAUUUCAACUACUACAGGUACUACUACUACUACUAUAUACUGCUACUACUGAACCCGGUGCUACACUGCUAGCUUAAUGCUGCAGAUCAUCAUACAGGCGCCAGCAACACAUCAAACACUUUAUUAAUGUCUAUGCUUGAAAAGCUGCAGAACAGCUGUUGCUAUGUACAGCUCAACUCUGUAGGUUAUUAUAGGAUGUCAUGUUUGUGUGAGUGCGCAAGAUAUUAUAAUAGGUUUGUGUUUAAGAUCGCACUUCAAAGCACAGCAGUUCAGAAGGAUGAAGCUCCCAAACCAUGAGCUUUACUACAUUACCCACAGUGCAGUGCAAGGUGGUUCAUGUAUCCAUCUGUGAGGAGGUGAAAACGAGAGGAAGACAGUUAGUUUUGAAUAUUUUUGUUUGUUUAUUUCUCUAAUUCCCUCUGAGUGUAAUUCUGUCGUGUCCCUAAAGAGAAAAGGAAAGUGAGACGCUCUUCGUGUCGAUGACGAAGCUUUACUCGUCACGGCUUUUUGAACCACACGGCUGUACCUCUCUGUCUCUGAAAGAAAGAGAGACUGACACAGGAGCAGAUUCACCACAGAGUGAGAAAAAAGUCCAGGUCGGGCAUUGGUGAUAAGAUUAAAGAGAGAGAUUACAGGUGAACAGCUCCAAGAAGGAUGACAUAUUUACAAAGUGAUAAUUUAUGAUGUAUUAAUGAGUGAGAUUACAGCAGAUUUCCUGUGAGAUUGUUACGAAGGGUUUUGUAUGGUCUGUUAGGAGGUACUCAUCAACAUUAAUGGGUUUACACCAAUCCCAGCAAUGGCUAUAGUAUAUAUAUUAUAUAUUAUUUAAUAUAUUAUAUAUAUAAUGUUCUAUUUAUUGUUCUACUCAUCGCUUUUAUAUUUAACUUUUUCUAUUGUUAUUUCAUUAUUCUAGAAAAAAAUAUUUCUUAGGGCUGAGAGAAGAAAAAAAAAAAGCACCUCAAGAAACAAAAACGGCUGAAAGAAUGUAGGAAGGAAAGCAGAUAGCCUUCCUUUUCCAUCGUUUGUUUCAAUUAUGUGUUGUUUUGUGACCAAAAUGUGACAGUCCAGUGUUGACAGGACGCAUUAAAGACAGACGUUAAUUCAACCAGAAAAUAAUAUAUUUAUACAAACACCUUUAUCAAUCCAGAUCAUCCCACAGGUGUUUGCUAUGAAAGCUCAUCUCAUUGUUUGGUUAUUAACACACGGUGCCCUUAUUUAAUCUCACCACAAGUGUUUUGGGAAAGCUGAGGCAGAGAGGAAGUGGAAGUUGAGCAGAAAGUGCAGCGCAGAAUGUAAAGCGGUAAGGUUUAAUGUUGAACUGUAAGUGCUACUUUUUAAGUGAGUCGAGAAAGUCGAAUGAUAAGGGAUAUCUAAUGUGAGUUUGUAAGGUGGGUCAUAUAUUUUGAUUGUAGAUGAGAAAGAGCAUUUUCCUUUAAGUAAGAGAAGGGAUUUUCUUCUGUCUUUAACGCGACUGUCUCCUCUUCGCUGGACGUUGUUUGUCUGCGUCGUCAUGUCUUCCAGUCUGACCACCAAUAUUUAAAAUCCCCUCCAUUCCAGUCUUCAAACGCCAGUAAGCCUUAUGGUUUAUUUCAGAAUAAGUCAAACAUUUUAAAAUCCAGCAAAAAACACAUAUGAGAGAAAAAAAAAACGUUAUCUGAAAUUGUAUUUGAAUUUUAAAACACUUGUGGAAGACCCUAAUAUCUGGAUGACAGAUUACAGAGAGCACUAGGGGAUGUGUUCUUAUAAGGCGUAGAAAACUGUAUUCAAUAUUUAUUUGAAUGUGUUAUUCUUAUCAUUGAUGAUUAACUUGAAUUUAUUUUCUAUUUAAUUUAUUUAAUGUCAUUUUGUUUUGGAGUUUAGCAGUAAGGGGGUGUAGUCGUGUUUCGCUCUGCAGUUUAAGUCUCCAGAGAUUUUGUCCUUGAAAUAAAUGCCUCAUUUAUUUCUUUACCGGCAUCUCUUAUCCGACACAUUACCUGUUUUUUCUGCUGCUCUCAAGUCCAUCUGCUUUUCACUUGCACAUCCAUUAAAUUGCUACUAGCUGGCAAAGGCGCUUUAUGGCAGAAAGUAGAAAAGGACGGCAUGCUGCAGUCCUCUGUCCGCAGGCCUGAGUCAAAGUGGCACUCAGAACUCUUAUGAGGACUGCUUCUCUGUGAUCGAUUGAGCCUGUCUGGCACAGCUGAAGCAGCCGAGGAGUUCAAAAUGAGAGCAGCUUCCUCCCAGCUGGCAGCUCGUCAGGCUCAAGCAAACGCUUCCAUGUAUUUGGAAGGAUUUGUGCUUUGCUUUGACCCAGGUCUGCGAUGUCUGAGGAGCUCGGGCUGUAUGUGCGCGCUUCCCGCCAAAAUCAUUGGAAACCAGAGUUCAUAAAAUACCGCUUUGUAGCUUUGGCCACGGCACUUUCACAUCCAUCACUUUUUAUAUGAGUCAGAAGAAUCUGAUUCAGCCCUGCUUUAAAGGAAGAUUUUUAGCUUUUUUAUGUUUUUAAGAAAAUGAGGAUUUUUAAAGCACAUCUCCCCUCACAUACGACCGAUAGCUUUCAUGUUGCUCUGAUGUCUCGGUCAGCGCUGCAGAAUCACGCUCAGUCCACUGGUCAGUCUUCAUAAACUCACAAUCCACUGAUGUCCCCGACUCCUUCCCUCCGUUGAGCCUCUGCUUUUAUCCAUUCCAAGUUUAUUUACUGGCAGCAAAAAUGCUUAUUCUAAGGUAAGAGAUUAAAAAAAAAAAGUGAUCCUCCAACUACUGAGAAGAUGGAGCUCCUCAUGAGUUUAGGGUUCCUCUUAAAGACUAUGAAACAGUUGUGGACACAUGUCAGUCAUUCCUUAAACUUUAAGGACCUUUUUAAAGUUCACUCUUAAAGCUGCUGCUGUUUGUACUGUUCAUCUACUCAACAGAACAGAUUUGGAUGUAAUGUAACAGACCUCAGCUGCUCUGUUUUGGUCUCGUCUGUUAAUGAACCGACAGCGUGAGCCAAAGUCAGAAAACACGUCUCUUUAAUACAGAAAAACGAGUAAACAGCUCCGGCGUUUGGAAGGAUUUCUGAAAGUAUUCGACCUCCCACUCUUCUUCCUCUGGUCUUCUAUCAUCAUGAUUAUUAACAUGAACAAGCAUGAGAUGCAUUUAUUUAUAAGCAGCAAACAAAAAGCAGCGAAACAUGUAAAAGUAUUACAAAGUGUAACUGAGUUCUAAUGUCAUGUCCAUCCUACUGUAGCUGUACAGCUGUGUGAGAUAUUUCCCAGAGGGCCGUGUUUCCCUGACGCUCUGAAACAGUCUGGAGGUGAAACAGAGAGUGCUGCUGGCCGGUGAGCCGCCAGGAUGUGAAAACAACAGAUUACCAUCAACAUGAAGCUGUUUUUUACACUGUACAUCCUUAGUAUUUUUACACAAAGUAUAUGAUAGGGAUGCACAUUAUUUUCCUUCUUACAGACGGCUUCAAUAAAGCACUAUGUCAAUCUGC